rnacentral:rRNA from 1 species
UACGUAGGGUGCGAGCGUUAAUCGGAAUUACUGGGCGUAAAGCGUGCGCAGGCGGUUCGUUGUGUCUGAUGUGAAAGCCCCGGGCUUAACCUGGGAAUGGCAUUGGAAAAUGGCGAGCUGGAGUGUGGCAGAGGUCGAUGGAAUUGCCGGUGUAGUGGUGAGAUGCGUAGAGAUCGGCAGGAACACCCAGGGGGAAACCAGUCGACUGGGCAUCUACUGACGCUGAGGUGCGAGAGCGUGGGGAGCGAACCGG